rnacentral:rRNA from 1 species
AACGUAGGAGGCAAGCGUUGUCCGGAUUUAUUGGGCGUAAAGAGCUCGUAGGCGGUUUGUCGCGUCGGACGUGAAAUCCCUCGGCUUAACCGGGGAACUGCGUCCGAUACUGGUUGGCUUGAGUUUGGGAGAGGGAUGCGGAAUUCCAGGUGUAGCGGUGAAAUGCGUAGAUAUCUGGAGGAACACCGGUGGCGAAGGCGGCAUCCUGGACCAAUUCUGACACUGAGGAGCGAAAGCCAGGGGAGCAAACGGG